UGACGAGUGGCGAACGGGUGAGUAAUGCGUCGGAACGUGCCGAGUAGUGGGGGAUAACGCAGCGAAAGCUGUGCUAAUACCGCAUACGAACUGAGGUUGAAAGUGGGGGACCUUCGGGCCUCACGCUAUUCGAUCGGCCGACGUCUGAUUAGCUAGUUGGUAGGGUAAAGGCCUACCAAGGCGACGAUCAGUAGCGGGUCUGAGAGGAUGAUCCGCCACACUGGGACUGAGACACGGCCCAGACUCCUACGGGAGGCAGCAGUGGGGAAUUUUGGACAAUGGGGGAAACCCUGAUCCAGCCAUGCCGCGUGUCUGAAGAAGGCCUUCGGGUUGUAAAGGACUUUUGUCGCCC
rnacentral:rRNA from 1 species